AACGAACGCUGGCGGCAUGCCUAACACAUGCGAGUCGAACGAGACCUUCGGGUCUAGUGGCGCACGGGUGCGUAACGCGUGGGAAUCUACCCUCAGGUUCGGAAUAACUCAGAGAAAUUUGAGCUAAUACCGGAUGAUGACGUAAGUCCAAAGAUUUAUCGCCUGAGGAUGAGCCCGCGUAGGAUUAGGUAGUUGGUGAGGUAAAGGCUCACCAAGCCGACGAUCCUUAGCUGGUCUGAGAGGAUGAUCAGCCACACUGGGACUGAGACACGGCCCAGACUCCUACGGGAGGCAGCAGUGGGGAAUAUUGGACAAUGGGCGAAAGCCUGAUCCAGCAAUGCCGCGUGAGUGAUGAAGUCCUUAGGGUUGUAAAGCUCUUUUACCCGGGAUGAUAAUGACAGUACCGGGAGAAUAAGCUCCGGCUAACUCCGUG
rnacentral:rRNA from 1 species